UCGCCUGCAUGAAGGCGGAAUCGCUAGUAAUCGCGGAUCAGCAUGCCGCGGUGAAUGCGUUCCCGGGCCUUGUACACACCGCCCGUCACACCACGAGAGUCUGCAACACCCGAAGCCGGUGGCCCAACCCGAAGAGGGAGGGAGCCGUCGAAGGUGGGGCAGAUGAUUGGGGUGAAGUCGUAACAAGGUAGCCGUACGGGAACGUGCGGCUGGAUCACCUCCUUUCU
rnacentral:rRNA from 1 species